GUAGGGUUAGGGGUAGGGUUAGGAGUAGGGUUAGGGUUGGGUUAGGAGUAGGGUAGGGUUAGGAGUAGGGUUAGGGUUGGGAGUAGGCUUAGGGUUGGGUUAGGGUAGGGUUAGGAGUAGGGUUAGGGCUAGGUAAUGGUAAUUAGGUACCCUAAUCUUAAUCCUAACCGUAACCCUACACCUAACCCUAACCCUACCUAACUCCUAACCCUAACCGUACCCUAACUCUAACCCUACUCCUAGCCCAACCCUACUCUAACCCUACCCUAACCCUACCCGAACCCUAUUCCUAAC